UGGAUCCAGACUUUGAUCAUGGCUCAGGAUGAACGCUGGCGGCGUGCUUAACACAUGCAAGUCGAGCGAAGCGCUUUGGAAAGAUUCUUCGGAUGAUUUCCUUUGUGACUGAGCGGCGGACGGGUGAGUAACGCGUGGGUAACCUGCCUCAUACAGGGGGAUAACAGUUAGAAAUGACUGCUAAUACCGCAUAAGACCACGGUACCGCAUGGUACAGUGGUAAAAACUCCGGUGGUAUGAGAUGGACCCGCGUCUGAUUAGGUAGUUGGUGGGGUAACGGCCUACCAAGCCGACGAUCAGUAGCCGACCUGAGAGGGUGACCGGCCACAUUGGGACUGAGACACGGCCCAGACUCCUACGGGAGGCAGCAGUGGGGAAUAUUGCACAAUGGAGGAAACUCUGAUGCAGCGACGCCGCGUGAAGGAUGAAGUAUUUCGGUAUGUAAACUUCUAUCAGCAGGGAAGAAAAUGACGGUACCUGACUAAGAAGCCCCGGCUAACUACGUGCCAGCAGCCGCGGUAAUACGUAGGGGGCAAGCGUUAUCCGGAUUUACUGGGUGUAAAGGGAGCGUAGACGGCACGGCAAGCCAGAUGUGAAAGCCCGGGGCUCAACCCCGGGACUGCAUUUGGAACUGCUGAGCUAGAGUGUCGGAGAGGCAAGUGGAAUUCCUAGUGUAGCGGUGAAAUGCGUAGAUAUUAGGAGGAACACCGGUGGCGAAGGCGGCUUGCUGGACGAUGACUGACGUUGAGGCUCGAAAGCGAGGGGAGCAAACAGGAUUAGAUACCCUGGUAGUCCACGCCGUAAACGAUGACUGCUAGGUGUCGGGUGGCAAAGCCAUUCGGUGCCGCAGCUAACGCAAUAAGCAGUCCACCUGGGGAGUACGUUCGCAAGAAUGCAACUCAAAUGAAUUGACGGA
rnacentral:rRNA from 1 species